rnacentral:rRNA from 1 species
AACGAACGCUGGCGGCAUGCCUAACACAUGCAAGUCGAACGAGACCUUCGGGUCUAGUGGCGCACGGGUGCGUAACGCGUGGGAACCUGCCCUUAGGUUCGGAAUAACUCCCCGAAAGGGGUGCUAAUACCGGAUAAUGUCUUCGGACCAAAGAUUUAUCGCCUUUGGAUGGGCCCGCGUUGGAUUAGCUAGUUGGUAGGGUAAAAGCCUACCAAGGCGACGAUCCAUAGCUGGUCUGAGAGGAUGAUCAGCCACACUGGGACUGAGACACGGCCCAGACUCCUACGGGAGGCAGCAGUGGGGAAUAUUGGACAAUGGGCGAAAGCCUGAUCCAGCAGUGCCGCGUGAGUGAUGAAGGCCUUAGGGUUGUAAAGCUCUUUUACCCAGGAUGAUAAUGACAGUACCGGGAGAAUAAGCUCCGGCUAACUCCGUG